GAUAGUGAUCUGCUGCAGCUCAGCCAAUCAACGCGUGUUUACGUUUAUUCACUGCCCUGUGAUUGGCUCGUUGGGUAAGUGAGCUGCACCGAGGCUGAGACGACGUGAGCGGACUACGGAGGCUCGUGUCCAUCAUCAUCAUCAUCAACAACAACAAAGCGUUCCCACAGAGAGAGAGAGUGCACGUGGAGAUGCUACAGGCUGUGUGAAGCAGCGCGCGCACCAUUACAUAAUCACCGCCUCGAGCCCGGACUCAGCCCUAACCCUGACCGGAACCAGAGCCGAGCAUCCGGUCCGCUUCUGCCUGUUGCUGCUCGUCUGUCUGCCUGCCUCCAUUUGUUUUGGGUCGUGGAGACUCCCCCCCCCCCAGAUUCCUGCCUGGAUCUUCUGCCUCUCGGAAUCCCCAGCCAUCCUGUCCCUGUCAGCAUCAGACUCUGGCUUCACUCCGUUGCCUGCCAUCCUCACCCUCGGCCCCGCCUCCCUGGACACUAAGUUCAGCCUCGCUCUUUCUAGCGGACCCCAGGUUAGUUUCAGUCCUUUGCUUAGUCCAUCGUUACAGAUUCAUAUUUACUAAACCCUCUCAGUUAAUCCCUCUCCUCUCUCUUCCACCAGGUCUUGCCAACUUCCUAAGUUAUUUAAAUUAACAGUUAAAUUCAGUUCCUUCUCCGUGUGUUUGUCAUCUGCACCUGAGCUUUUACCAGCCCUGUAACAGAAAUGAGGCGUUGAACACUGCUUAAAGUAGGAUUUUAUUAAUAUGAGUGUGUUACCUCAAUAACAAAUGGGAAUCACUAGGCAAGGCAAAUUUAUUUGUAUAGCGCAUUUCAUACACAAGGCAACUCAAUGUGCUUUACAUGAUAAAACAUUCAAUUGUUUAAAAUCAAUACGAACAAUUAAAAUCACCAGUAAAAUCAAUUAAAAUCAUCAACAAAAUGACCAAAAAUCUCUCUCUCAAUCAUACGCAGUAGAGAAAAAAAGUGCCUUUAACUUUGAUUUAAAAAUGUUCACAUUAGAUGCUGACUUCAACUCUGCUGGCAGUUUGUUCCACUUCUUUGCAGCAUAACAACUAAAAGCAGCAUCACCAUAUUUACUGUGAGCUCUGGGCUCCACUAUCUGACCUGUGUCCAUAGAUCUGAGAGACCUGCUGGGUUCAUACCUGACUAACAUGUCACUGAUGUAUUCUGGACCAAACCCAUUCACACAUUUAUACACCAGCAGCAGAACUUUAAAGUCUAUUCUGAGGCUGACUGGGAGCCAGUGUAAAGACUUUAAAACUGGAGUAAUGUGCUCUGACCUCUUUGUUCUGGUUAAGACCCAAGCUGCAGCGUUCUGAACCAGCUGUAGCUAUGAAGACCAUUACAAUAGUCCAGUCUGCUGGAGAUAAAAGCAUGGACCAGUUUCUCCUGAUCUUUCUGAGUCAUUAAACCUUUCACUCUGGAGAUGUUCUUUAGGUGGUAGAAGCUGUUUUUGUGAUAGAUUUGAUUUGACUGCUGAAUGUAAGAUCUGAGUCAAUCAGAACACCAAGGUUUUUGACUUGGUCUUAGCUUUUAAAGAUUGAGACUCAAGAUACUUGCUGAUAGCAGUCCUCUUUUCCUUGUUACCAAAGAUAAUCACCUCCAUCUUGUCAUGGUUUAGUUGAAGGAAGUUUUCACUCAUCCAGCAGUUUACUUUUUCUAAACAGUCACACAACACCUCAAUGUGACCAUAGUCAUCUGGGUUCAGUGAUAGAUAUAGUUGUGUGUCAUCUGCGUAGCUCUGAUAAUCAACUUUACAGUUCUGUAAAAUUUGUCCUAAAGGAAGCAUAUAAAGGCUAAACAGAAGGGGUCCAAGAACAGAGCCCUGAGGAACCCCACAGGACAUUGGUAAUCUGUCAGAUUCAAAGUUUCCAAUGCUUACAAAAUAGCUUCGCUCCUCCAAGUAUGACUUAAACCAUUGCAUUACUUUUCCAUUUAGUCCAACCCAUGUUUGCAAUCUGUGCAACAAAAUUGUAUGAUCUACAAGUGUCAAAUGCAGCACUUAGAUCCAAUAGAAUGAGAACAGAUACUUUUCCUGAAUCAGUGUUCAACCUUAUGUCAUUGAUCACUUUGAUCAGAGCAGUUUCAGUGCUGUGAUGAGAACGAAAACCUGACUGAAAUUUAUCAAAUAUUUUGUUGAAUGUUAAGAAUUCACUCAGUUGGUUGAAGACCACCAUCUCAAUGAUCUUGGCCAUGAAUGGAAGGUUCUGGUUGGUCUAUAGUUAGCCAGUAUAGAGGCAUCCAGUGUUCUCUUUUUUAACAGAGGUUUCACAGCAGCUACUUUGAGGGAUUUUGGUACGGUGCCUGAUUGGAAUGAGCAGUUAAUUAUCUGACACAAAUCAGUGACAAAUGACUUUACAACAGUUUUAAAGAAGUUUGAAGGUAUUGUGUCAAGACAACAUGUUGAUAGAUUUAGCUGCUGAACAGUUUCCUCUAUUGUUUUUGGGUUCACUGUAAUAAACUCUAACAUUGUAGUUGACUUAUCCCUCA
rnacentral:lncRNA from 1 species